GAGAGUUUGAUCCUGGCUCAGGACGAACGCUGGCGGCACGCUUAACACAUGCAAGUCGAACGAGAGAAGAGGAGCUUGCUUUUCUGAUCUAGUGGCGGACGGGUGAGUAACACGUGAGCAAUCUGCCUUUCAGAGGGGGAUACCGAUUGGAAACGAUCGUUAAUACCGCAUAAUAUAAUUGAACCGCAUGAUUUGAUUAUCAAAGAUUUAUCGCUGAAAGAUGAGCUCGCGUCUGAUUAGCUAGUUGGUAAGGUAACGGCUUACCAAGGCGACGAUCAGUAGCCGGACUGAGAGGUUGAUCGGCCACAUUGGGACUGAGACACGGCCCAGACUCCUACGGGAGGCAGCAGUGGGGAAUAUUGCACAAUGGAGGAAACUCUGAUGCAGCGAUGCCGCGUGAGGGAAGAAGGUUUUAGGAUUGUAAACCUCUGUCUUCAGGGACGAAAAAUGACGGUACCUGAGGAGGAAGCUCCGGCUAACUACGUGCCAGCAGCCGCGGUAAUACGUAGGGAGCGAGCGUUGUCCGGAAUUACUGGGUGUAAAGGGAGCGUAGGCGGGAUCGCAAGUCAGAUGUGAAAACUAUGGGCUUAACCCAUAAACUGCAUUUGAAACUGUGGUUCUUGAGUGAAGUAGAGGUAAGCGGAAUUCCUAGUGUAGCGGUGAAAUGCGUAGAUAUUAGGAGGAACAUCAGUGGCGAAGGCGGCUUACUGGGCUUUAACUGACGCUGAGGCUCGAAAGCGUGGGGAGCAAACAGGAUUAGAUACCCUGGUAGUCCACGCCGUAAACGAUGAUUACUAGGUGUGGGGGGACUGACCCCUUCCGUGCCGCAGCAAACGCAAUAAGUAAUCCACCUGGGGAGUACGACCGCAAGGUUGAAACUCAAAGGAAUUGGCGGGGGCCCGCACAAGCAGUGGAGUAUGUGGAUUAAUUCGAAGCAACGCGAAGAACCUUACCAGGUCUUGACAUCGUAUGCAUAGCUCAGAGAUGAGUGAAAUCUCUUCGGAGACAUAUAGACAGGUGGUGCAUGGUUGUCGUCAGCUCGUGUCGUGAGAUGUUGGGUUAAGUCCCGCAACGAGCGCAACCCUUACUGUUAGUUGCUACGCAAGAGCACUCUAGCAGGACUGCCGUUGACAAAACGGAGGAAGGUGGGGAUGACGUCAAAUCAUCAUGCCCCUUAUGACCUGGGCCUCACACGUACUACAAUGGCUGUAAACAGAGGGAUGCAAAGCCGCGAGGUGGAGCGAACCCCUAAAAGCAGUCUUAGUUCGGAUUGUAGGCUGCAACCCGCCUACAUGAAGUCGGAAUUGCUAGUAAUCGCAGAUCAGCAUGCUGCGGUGAAUACGUUCCCGGGCCUUGUACACACCGCCCGUCACGCCAUGGGAGUCGGUAACACCCGAAGCCUGUAGUCUAACCGCAAGGAGGACGCAGUCGAAGGUGGGAUUGAUGACUGGGGUGAAGUCGUAACAAGGUAGCCG
rnacentral:rRNA from 1 species